rnacentral:rRNA from 1 species
GUGUCAGCAGCCGCGGUAAUACGGAGGGUGCGAGCGUUAAUCGGAAUUACUGGGCGUAAAGCGCGCGUAGGCGGCUUGAUAAGCCGGUUGUGAAAGCCCCGGGCUCAACCUGGGAACGGCAUCCGGAACUGUCAGGCUAGAGUGCAGGAGAGGAAGGUAGAAUUCCCGGUGUAGCGGUGAAAUGCGUAGAGAUCGGGAGGAAUACCAGUGGCGAAGGCGGCCUUCUGGACUGACACUGACGCUGAGGUGCGAAAGCGUGGGUAGCAAACAGGAUUAGAUACCCUGGUAGUCCACGCCGUAAACGAUGUCGACUAGCCGUUGGGCUCCUUGAGAGCUUUGUGGCGCAGUUAACGCGAUAAGUCGACCGCCUGGGGAGUACGGCCGCAAGGUUAAAACUUAAAUGAAUUGACGGGG